GUCAAGUCAUCAUGGCCUUUAUGGGUAGGGCUACACACGUGCUACAAUGGGGCGUACAGAGGGUAGCCAACCCGCGAGGGGGAGCCAAUCUCAGAAAGCGUCUCGUAGUCCGGAUUGGAGUCUGCAACUCGACUCCAUGAAGUUGGAAUCGCUAGUAAUCGCGAAUCAGCAACGUCGCGGUGAAUACGUUCCCGGGCCUU
rnacentral:rRNA from 1 species